CUCUCCGUAGUUCAAUGGAUAGAACGGGCGCCUCCUAAGCGCCAGAUACAGGUUCGAUUCCUGUCGGAGGGA
rfam:Physcomitrella patens subsp. patens PHYPAscaffold_4623 genomic scaffold, whole genome shotgun sequence.